rnacentral:rRNA from 1 species
UACGUAGGGUGCGAGCGUUGUCCGGAAUUAUUGGGCGUAAAGAGCUCGUAGGCGGUCUGUCGCGUCUGCUGUGAAAACUCAGGGCUUAACCCUGAGCUUGCAGUGGGUACGGGCAGACUAGAGUGCGGUAGGGGAGACUGGAAUUCCUGGUGUAGCGGUGAAAUGCGCAGAUAUCUGGAGGAACACCGGUGGCGAAGGCGGCAUCCUGGACCAACACUGACGCUGAGUGAGCGAAAGCCAGGGGAGCAAACGGG